CGUUUGCCAGUAAACAGGUGGUGAGAGUUGUGCUCCAGCUGUGAACGCGUCUUCCGUCUUGAGCAAUGAGAACAUUUUGACAGUGACUCAACUGCGCACUAGGAGAUUUAAUACGUUCUCCAUCAAUGACGUCAGACACGUGUUCCACAGCGACUGCAUCCAUGUCAAGAUUACAUGUCGCAUGUCAGAGUUCGUCUGCUAGUAAUUUUGCUUGGUUAUCAUUUAAUAUGAAGUGUAAUGUUUGCUUUGGGUUGUGAUGAUCUCCAUCGGAAGGUGUAUCAAAUGAUAAGUCAAAUGUAAGGAGUAUUUUUUCACGAAACGUCUGUUUUAAAAGAGGUUAGGGCCGCGUCCACAACCAGUUGAUCCACAGACUAACUAGUUGAAAGCCCCACUUGAAAUUAAGUCUGGAUUUAAUUGCUCACCCGUUGGGACGACACAAGUAGGAGGCGGGGAAUCCAUUGUCAAAUAAGCGCCAUAUUUGAUCCACGGACUAGAUAGAGAGCGGUUCAGCUGGUUGUGAACGCCGUCUAAUUCUUUACUAAGCAUCAGACCUGUGCGUCGCUGGUUAGCAUCUGUACAUAUACACAUAUAUGUAUGUUAUCAAGUUGUUGUACAGUACUCUACCCGACCAUGGUGUUUUAAUGGUAAUUUGUUAGUGCAUUUGGUUUAGGGGGAGGUACACGUCGGGUCUCAAAGCUGAAAACGACUUUUGUUUAAGCCCUCAUUUAAUAUGAAUAUCGCAAAUGC